rnacentral:rRNA from 1 species
UACAGAGGGGGCGAGCGUUGUUCGGAAUUACUGGGCGUAAAGGGCUCGUAGGCGGCCAACUAAGUCAGACGUGAAAUCCCUAGGCUCAACCUAGGAACUGCGUCUGAUACUGGAUGGCUUGAAUCCGGGAGAGGGAUGCAGAAUUCCAGGUGUAGCGGUGAAAUGCGUAGAUAUCGUAAGGAAGACCAGUGGCGAAGGCGGGUCUCUGGGCCGUAACUGACGCUGAGGAGCGAAAGCGUGGGGAGCGAACAGG